CUCUGGAUCUACUAUCCGGACCGUUCCCUGCUGAAGACUCGACGUCGGCAUCUGGGCUAUCCGCACCUCCACAGCCACCGUCGCCGACACCAUCAGCACAGCCAGCAACCACAGACAAGCCGCGGACAUCGCCCCGGAUACCAAAACAAAAAGAAAGAAAUACUUGUGUGUGUGUGUGUGUGUGUGCAUGAAAAGAUCACCCGGAACCCGGAAAUCAGACACGACCGGGAAGUCAUCCGGACCCUGUGGAUGCUGAUCAUUCAUUGAACUCCAACUGUUCAACGACGAUCAGUCAGAGGUCGAAGGAGUAGGGCACCCGCUCGUUGAUUCUUUAACUCACCAGACGCCUCAGCUGAUAGGAGAUACAAAGACAACGAGCACGCCACACCUUCUACCUGUCGCUUCAACACCAACACCAACACCAACGUUUGCUCUCCCCUCUGGGUCUUGGCCUUUGUGGGAGACAUCGACGCCGGUUUCCUCAGUACCUCUGGAUCUACUAUCCGGACCGAUCCCUGCUGAAGACUCGACGUCGGCAUCUGGGCUAUCCGCACCUCCACAGCCACCGUCGCCGACACC